rnacentral:rRNA from 1 species
AUUGAACGCUGGCGGCAUGCUUUACACAUGCAAGUCGAACGGUAACAGGCCUUCGGGUGCUGACGAGUGGCGAACGGGUGAGUAAUGCAUCGGAACGUACUCAGAGGUGGGGGAUAACGCAGCGAAAGCUGUGCUAAUACCGCAUGUGAUCUGAGGAUGAAAGCGGGGGACCGAGCAGCAAUGUUUGGCCUCGCGCCUUUGGAGCGGCCGAUGUCGGAUUAGCUAGUUGGUGGGGUAAAGGCCUACCAAGGCGACGAUCCGUAGCUGGUCUGAGAGGACGACCAGCCACACUGGGACUGAGACACGGCCCAGACUCCUACGGGAGGCAGCAGUGGGGAAUUUUGGACAAUGGGCGCAAGCCUGAUCCAGCAAUGCCGCGUGCGGGAAGAAGGCCUUCGGGUUGUAAACCGCUUUUGGCAGGAACGAAACGGUGUCCGCUAAUACCGGGCGCUAAUGACGGUACCUGCAGAAUAAGCACCGGCUAACUACGUG